UGCGUAGGUGGCAAGGCAAGUCAGAUGUGAAAGCCCGGGGCUCAACCCCGGUACUGCAUUUGAAACUGUCUGGCUAGAGUGCAGGAGAGGUAAGCGGAAUUCCUAGUGUAGCGGUGAAAUGCGUAGAUAUUAGGAGGAACGCCAGUGGCGAAGGCGGCUUACUGGACUGUAACUGACACUGAGGCACGAAAGCGUGGGGAGCAAACA
rnacentral:rRNA from 1 species